GAUGAACGCUGGCGGCGUGCCUAAUACAUGCAAGUCGAGCGAACAGACGAGGAGCUUGCUCCUCUGACGUUAGCGGCGGACGGGUGAGUAACACGUGGAUAACCUACCUAUAAGACUGGGAUAACUUUGGGAAACCGGAGCUAAUGCCGGAUAAUAUAUUGAACCGCAUGGUUCAAUAGUGAAAGACGGUUUUGCUGUCACUUAUAGAUGGAUCCGCGCCGCAUUAGCUAGUUGGUAAGGUAACGGCUUACCAAGGCGACGAUGCUUAGCCGACCUGAGAGGGUGAUCGGCCACACUGGAACUGAGACACGGUCCAGACUCCUACGGGAGGCAGCAGUAGGGAAUCUUCCGCAAUGGGCGAAAGCCUGACGGAGCAACGCCGCGUGAGUGAUGAAGGUCUUCGGAUCGUAAAACUCUGUUAUUAGGGAAGAACAAAUGUGUAAGUAACUAUGCACGUCUUGACGGUACCUAAUCAGAAAGCCACGGCUAACUACGCG
rnacentral:rRNA from 1 species